rnacentral:rRNA from 1 species
AUGCAAGUCGAACGAACUCUGGUAUUGAUUGGUGCUUGCAUCAUGAUUUACAUUUGAGUGAGUGGCGAACUGGUGAGUAACACGUGGGAAACCUGCCCAGAAGCGGGGGAUAACACCUGGAAACAGAUGCUAAUACCGCAUAACAACUUGGACCGCAUGGUCCGAGUUUGAAAGAUGGCUUCGGCUAUCACUUUUGGAUGGUCCCGCGGCGUAUUAGCUAGAUGGUGGGGUAAUGGCUCACCAUGGCAAUGAUACGUAGCCGACCUGAGAGGGUAAUCGGCCACAUUGGGACUGAGACACGGCCCAAACUCCUACGGGAGGCAGCAGUAGGGAAUCUUCCACAAUGGACGAAAGUCUGAUGGAGCAACGCCGCGUGAGUGAAGAAGGGUUUCGGCUCGUAAAACUCUGUUGUUAAAGAAGAACAUAUCUGAGAGUAACUGUUCAGGUAUUGACGGUAUUUAACCAGAAAGCCACGGCUAACUACGUGCCAGCAGCCGCGGUAAUACGUAGGUGGCAAGCGUUGUCCGGAUUUAUUGGGCGUAAAGCGAGCGCAGGCGGUUUUUUAAGUCUGAUGUGAAAGCCUUCGGCUCAACCGAAGAAGUGCAUCGGAAACUGGGAAACUUGAGUGCAGAAGAGGACAGUGGAACUCCAUGUGUAGCGGUGAAAUGCGUAGAUAUAUGGAAGAACACCAGUGGCGAAGGCGGCUGUCUGGUCUGUAACUGACGCUGAGGCUCGAAAGUAUGGGUAGCAAACAGGAUUAGAUACCCUGGUAGUCCAUACCGUAAACGAUGAAUGCUAAGUGUUGGAGGGUUUCCGCCCUUCAGUGCUGCAGCUAACGCAUUAAGCAUUCCGCCUGGGGAGUACGGCCGCAAGGCUGAAACUCAAAGGAAUUGACGGGGGCCCGCACAAGCGGUGGAGCAUGUGGUUUAAUUCGAAGCUACGCGAAGAACCUUACCAGGUCUUGACAUACUAUGCAAAUCUAAGAGAUUAGACGUUCCCUUCGGGGACAUGGAUACAGGUGGUGCAUGGUUGUCGUCAGCUCGUGUCGUGAGAUGUUGGGUUAAGUCCCGCAACGAGCGCAACCCUUAUUAUCAGUUGCCAGCAUUAAGUUGGGCACUCUGGUGAGACUGCCGGUGACAAACCGGAGGAAGGUGGGGAUGACGUCAAAUCAUCAUGCCCCUUAUGACCUGGGCUACACACGUGCUACAAUGGAUGGUACAACGAGUUGCGAACUCGCGAGAGUAAGCUAAUCUCUUAAAGCCAUUCUCAGUUCGGAUUGUAGGCUGCAACUCGCCUACAUGAAGUCGGAAUCGCUAGUAAUCGCGGAUCAGCAUGCCGCGGUGAAUACGUUCCCGGGCCUUGUACACACCGCCCGUCACACCAUGAGAGUUUGUAACACCCAAAGUCGGUGGGGUAACCUUUUAGGAACCAGCCGCCUAAGG